UACAGAGGGUGCGAGCGUUGUUCGGAAUCAUUGGGCGUAAAGCGCUUGUAGGCGGCCUGUCAAGUCGCGUGUGAAAUCCCCUGGCUUAACCAGGGAAGUGCGCGCGAAACUGGCGGGCUUGAGUGCCGGAGAGGGUCGCGGAAUUCCCGGUGUAGAGGUUAAAUGCGUAGAUAUCUGGAGGAACACCGGUGGCGAAGGCGGCAUCCUGGACCGACACUGACGCUGAGGAGCGAAAGCCAGGGGAGCAAACGGG
rnacentral:rRNA from 1 species